rnacentral:rRNA from 1 species
UACGAAGGGGGCUAGCGUUGCUCGGAAUGACUGGGCGUAAAGGGCGCGUAGGCGGCGGUCACAGUCAGAUGUGAAAUUCCUGGGCUUAACCUGGGGGCUGCAUUUGAUACGUGGUUGCUUGAGUGGGGAAGAGGGUCGUGGAAUUCCCAGUGUAGAGGUGAAAUUCGUAGAUAUUGGGAAGAACACCCGUGGCGAAAGCGGCUCUCUGGAACGGUACUGACGCUGAGACGCGAAAGCGUGGGGAGCGAACAGG